UCAGAAACGGCGGGGUAGCCGCAUUCCACCAC
rnacentral:scRNA from 1 species